CAGUGCGAUCAUACCAGCACUACUGCACCGGAUCCCAUCAGAUCUCCGCAGUUAAGCGUGCCUGGGCGAGAGUAGUACUAGGAUGGGUGACCUGCAGGGAAGUCCUCGUGGCUCGUUCGGU
rfam:Glycine soja cultivar W05 scaffold4292_1, whole genome shotgun sequence.